rnacentral:RNase_P_RNA from 1 species
UGAGUCGGUCAGACGGCCGCGUCGAUGCUGAGGUCCCGGGUUCCGGGUAACGCACAUCGCCGAGGAACGUCCGGGCUCCACAGGGCAAGGUGAUGGCUAACGGCCACCCGGGGUGACCCGCGGGACAGUGCCACAGAAAAUAGACCGCCACGACGAACCACCCGGCUUCGGCCGGACGGGCGUCGCGGUAAGGGUGAAACGGUGGUGUAAGAGACCACCAGCACUCCAGGUGACUGGAGUGGCUAGGUAAACCCCACCUGGAGCAAGGUCAGACAGCAAGCGUUUGAGGGCGGCCCGCCCGAGCUUGCGGGUAGACCGCUAGAGGUGCUCGGCAACGAGUACACGAGAUGGAUGGUCGUCCGUCGCGUGCUGGCAACGGCGCGCGAUGACAGAACCCGGCGUAUCGACCGACUCAUCCA